rnacentral:tRNA from 16 species
ACGCGCCGGUCUCAAAAACCGGUCUUUAGUCGGGUGAGGGUUCGAGUCCCUCCGUUAG